AAAGAAUUGGUUCUGCUAUCGGUAGUGACAGUUCCCACUCUAGACCUACCAACCAAUCCUCAGAUACUUGACUAAGUAGAUGAUCUUACACAACUAAGUUAUUUGAACGAGCCUCAGUUCUUCACAAUCUUCAGACUAGAUAUUUACAAGAUAAUUUAUAUAGAAUGGCAAGCCCUGUACUUUUGUCAAUCAAUCAAUUUAACAAUGUCUAGCUAUAUGGGGAUGAUAAAGAAGAAACUUUUGGACACUCCUCAUGCUUAUGCUGUUGCUGAUGCAGCAUGCAAUGCAAUGAUAGCAGAUGAAGAAGUUGACUAAUAAGAAAGAAGGAGGUGCAAAAAAAAGAAAAGAAAAAAAGAAAAAAAGAGAAAA